UGUGGGAGCGGGCUUGCUCGCGAAAGCGGUGUGUCAGUCAACAUUGGUGUCUCUGACACACCGCCUUCGCGAGCAAGCCCGCUCCCACA
rnacentral:misc_RNA from 1 species